rnacentral:rRNA from 1 species
UGGGGAAUAUUGCACAAUGGGCGCAAGCCUGAUGCAGCCAUGCCGCGUGUAUGAAGAAGGCCUUCGGGUUGUAAAGUACUUUCAGCGAGGAGGAAGGCGUUGUGGUUAAUAACCGCAACGAUUGACGUUACUCGCAGAAGAAGCACCGGCUCACUCCGUGCCAGCAGCCGCGGUAAUACGGAGGGUGCAAGCGUUAAUCGGAAUUACUGGGCGUAAAGCGCACGCAGGCGGUCUGUCAAGUCGGAUGUGAAAUCCCCGGGCUCAACCUGGGAACUGCAUCCGAAACUGGCAGGCUAGAGUCUUGUAGAGGGGGGUAGAAUUCCAGGUGUAGCGGUGAAAUGCGUAGAGAUCUGGAGGAAUACCGGUGGCGAAGGCGGCCCCCUGGACAAAGACUGACGCUCAGGUGCGAAAGCGUGGGGAGCAAACA